GCGGCGCAUCAUACAUAUUCUAUUUCACAUCGCUUUGUGCUUCGUAUUUGAGUCUCAGUGCUGAAAAGAAUUUCAAUGAUCUUUCGGGACCACAGUCCGAACGAAGCCCAAGGUGCACAACAAGUGUGACAUCUUCUUGCUGCUACAUGUGGAUCGCUGGUUCCCUUUCUCGACUGGUGCAAUGAGUUAUGCAGUCACUGUUAUAUUGACAGUGUUGGUUCUAAAUUGCUUGGGCCUUAUCUCAGCAGAAGAGACUUCACUUAUGAGAUCAAAAUCUACAGGUACUCAUUACAAGCUGCAUACAUUGCAUUCCCUGGCAAGCCAGUACCUGAAACAUGCUUCCAAAUUCAGCACAACUGUAGACUUUACUGUCCCACUUUUCUCAUUUAAGUUUCCUCUUGGUGAUCAAAACAGUAGUACAGCUAUCAUUCAGCAAAAUUUGAUUGGGCAAUUGAUUUAUUUUUUUAUUACUGCAAUUUCAUUUAUUGCAUCAAUUUCUGUACCCUAUUUUAUUAACAAAGUGAAACAAAAUGAAGAUACACCAAAAUUACAACUAGAAAUAGAUUACUGUAAUAAAAAGUAUCAUAACCACUAUCUGUGGCAAUUAUUAUGUGAAAUCAAUGAAAAUGUGGUAAAGCACAACAGAAUUCCAACAGCAUGGCCAGAAACCUAAACACAAACAGAGUAUACUUUCAGAAUCUAACUGUGCUGAUUUUGUAUUUGUGGCACUUUAAUGAAAAAGGAGGUUACUGAUGAUUUGUAGCUGCAUUUCUGAAAUAAUGAAAUGAACCAGUUCUUGAACGGUAUAUCUGUGGCUUUGACAUUGGAAUUGAUGACCCCUUUUAAAAAUUGUAUCUAUUGUAUUGUAUCAGUAAAAUAAUUGCCUUAAAACAUGCAGUAAAUUUGUUUGCAACCUGUUUUCAAGUGCAUGUAUACUAAAUUCACAGAAAACAAACCUGUAUGUAUAAAUUAAGAAACUACCCUAUUUAUUCUUGAAUUAUUUGCUACAGAUAUGACUGACACAUUAAAGUGCUCUGAACGAUGUUUUAUCACGAGCGAAAGAAUAGGUUUUAAUUGAGAAAUGGCUGACUCUAUUAUUUUCAACUGUUUAGAAAGGGGACACUUAAAUUUUAAUGAUGUUAAUAUAAAUAAAAUUGUGCGCAUUUCUAAGAAAACUUUGACUAUUUACAGCCAGUAAGUUUUCUUUUAUGAAGUGAAAACAUUCCAGGAAUGCAAGAAGGAAAUUUCUCAACCCGGCACAGACAUGGCUCUGAUCAAUUAAAAUUUGUUUAUGUUAUUUUGUUACAUAUUGCUCAAUAUUUUAAAUCUGUGGUAAAGUUUUUUUUACUAAAGUGCUUUAAGUAGUCGAGUUAUGUCUGAUUAAACAUGUAUAUUGUUAUGUCUUUAAAAAAAAGUUUCAUUUUUGGAAAGUGUAUCAGAAAAGGAAAUUCAUCCAGAAUUGGUGAAAAUUUAGAAGGAGGCUGGUUCUUAAUUUUCAACAGUUGAGAAAUGAGGAGCUGAAUUUGAAUGUAGUCUACUCCUCCUGAGGAUGGUCCACAACCACAGAAAGGAAAAUGCCCAAUAUAGUACUGAAAAAUUGUCAAUUACAGAUACAUGAAUUAGUUUAUGUCAUAGACAUUACAGAACAGAUAUUACAGAAGGAAGAAUGUAGCAGGUUUUACUUGAUAAAUUAUCUACAUUACAUAAGAUAUGGGCUGCAUUUGUAGAAUGCUGACAAAGAGAAAUUGGGAAAGUGAAUUUUUUAGUGACUGGGUUUGUCCACUAAUUUGUUAUCAUGGAUGGAUAUAGAUCCUCCUCUACUUCAUGUGAAAAGUGAAGUAGUAUCAA